rnacentral:rRNA from 1 species
GUAGGGUGCGAGCGUUAAUCGGAAUUACUGGGCGUAAAGCGUGCGCAGGCGGUUCGUUAAGUCAGAUGUGAAAGCCCCGGGCUCAACCUGGGAACUGCAUUUGAAACUGGCGGGCUUGAGUGUGGCAGAGGGGGGUGGAAUUCCGCGUGUAGCAGUGAAAUGCGUAGAGAUGCGGAGGAACACCGAUGGCGAAGGCAGCCCCCUGGGCCAACACUGACGCUCAGGCACGAAAGCGUGGGGAGCAAACAGGAUUAGAUACCCUGGUAGUCCACGCCCUAAACGAUGCUCACUAGGUGUUGGGGAAGCGAUUCCUUGGUACCGUAGSKRRCGCGUGAAGUGAGCCGCCUGGGGAGUACGGCCGC